UACGAAGGGGGCGAGCGUUGUUCGGAAUUACUGGGCGUAAAGGGCGCGUAGGCGGCCCCUUUUGUCGCGUGUGAAAGCCCCGGGCUCAACCUGGGAGGUGCGCGCGAAACGGGGGGGCUUGAGUUCGGGAGAGGAGAGUGGAAUUCCCAGUGUAGAGGUGAAAUUCGUAGAUAUUGGGAAGAACACCGGUGGCGAAGGCGGCCAUCUGGACCGGUUCUGACGCUGAGGCGCGAAAGCGUGGGGAGCAAACAGG
rnacentral:rRNA from 1 species